GCGCCCGUAGCUCAGUCGGUAGAGCAAGAAGCUUUUAACUUCGAGGUCGGUGGUUCGAGUCCACCCGGGCGCA
rnacentral:tRNA from 1 species